GAAGAGUUUGACAUCAGGCUUGUCCUGGGAUUCUUGAGAAGAAAAGGAAGAUAAGCUGAGAUACUGAAGGGAAGUUGUUGGAGGGGCCUCCAAGAUCUUGUCUUUGCAAUGCCAGUGUGGAUUCAGAACAGGAUGCAACCAGCUGGCAUCAAUAAAUGUCAUCUGCAGAGAUCUGUUUCCAAAUGGCAAAAGUGACCCCCUUGAUCACCAAAAGGACUCCAGAGAGUUCAAACAGCCUUGGAAAUUGAUUCCCAUUUAGCUUAAUAGGAUCUCACCUGCAGAUUUCAUUUUAUGUGAGAUAACCUUGAUUUCAGAUCAGUCCUCUGGAGAGGAAGGAGA